GAAGUAGCUCAGUUGGGUAGAGCAUGGUGCUGAUAAUGCUAAGGUCACAGGUUCAAUCCCUGUAUAGGACAGCUACA